ACUUGAUGAUGUGGACAUUUGCAAAGUAGGUCCCUAAAAUGCUCCCAAGUCUCGAAAAAGAGUUCUCCAUCCAUUUGUGAAAAAAUCGUGAUGGCUCUUUGAAGUU